GCCUAAAGCGUCCGUAGCCUGAUCUAUAAGUUUCCGGUUAAAUCCACAUGCUCAACAUUUGGGCUGCCGGAAAAACUGUAGAUCUAGGGAGUGGGAGAGGUAGACGGUACUCGAUAGGAAGGGGUAAAAUCCUUUGAUCUAUUGAUGACCACCAGUGGCGAAGGCGGUCUACCAGAACACGUUCGACGGUGAGGGAUGAAAGCUGGGGGAGCAAACCGGAUUAGAUACCCGGGUAGUCCCAGCUGUAAACGAUGCAGACUCGGUGAUGCAUUGGCUUGUGGCCAGUGCAGUGCCGCAGGGAAGCCGUUAAGUUUGCCGCCUGGGAAGUACGUACGCAAGUAUGAAACUUAAAGGAAUUGGCGGGGGAGCACCACAAGGGGUGAAGCCUGCGGUUCAAUUGGAGUCAACGCCAGAAAUCUUACCCGGAGAGACAGCAGAAUGAAGGUCAAGCUGAAGACUUUACCAGACAAGCUGAGAGGUGGUGCAUGGCCGUCGCCAGCUCGUGCCGUGAGAUGUCCUGUUAAGUCAGGUAACGAGCGAGACCCUUGCCUCUAGUUGCCACCAUUGCUCUCUGGAGCAGUGGGGCGAAUUAGCGGGACCGCCGCAGUUAAUGCGGAGGAAGGAAAGGGCUACGGCAGGUCAGUAUGCCCC
rnacentral:rRNA from 1 species